rnacentral:rRNA from 1 species
UUGCUGUGGUAUUUUGACUAUACAAAGGUAUUGAAAUAAGGUUUUAAAUGAGUGCUAAGAGAAGGGCUUAACAGUGAUUGACUUUUCUUUUUUUAAAAUUAGAAGUUGAUGUAAAAAUGAAAAAGUUUUUAUGGAUUAUUGGGACAAGAAGACCCUAUGAAUUUUUACAUGAUUUUAGUUGAGUGAUUAUUUACAAAAAUAAGUGUGGUUAGAUGAAUGUUGAUUGGGGCGAUUAUUAAAACUUAGAAAUCUUUAAUGAUAAAAUGAAGAAGAUCCGCUAUUAGCGAGGAUAUGAAUAAAAUACUCUAGGGAUAACAGCGUAAUUAUUUUGGAUAGUUCAUAUAGAUAAAAUAGUUUGCGACCUCGAUGUUGGAUUAAGAUACUCUUUUAAUGCAGGUGUUAUUUGGAGAAGUUUGCUCAACUUUUAAAGUCUUACAUGAU